AUUGAACGCUGGCGGCAUGCCUUACACAUGCAAGUCGAACGGUAACAGGGAGCUUGCUCCGCUGACGAGUGGCGAACGGGUGAGUAAUGCGUCGGAACGUGCCGAGUAGUGGGGGAUAACGCAUCGAAAGGUGUGCUAAUACCGCAUACGUACUGAGGUAGAAAGUGGGGGACCUUCGGGCCUCACGCUAUUCGAGCGGCCGACGUCGGAUUAGCUAGUUGGUGAGGUAAAGGCUCACCAAGGCGACGAUCAGUAGCGGGUCUGAGAGGAUGAUCCGCCACACUGGGACUGAGACACGGCCCAGACUCCUACGGGAGGCAACAGUGGGGAAUUUUGGACAAUGGGCGCAAGCCUGAUCCAGCCAUGCCGCGUGUCUGAAGAAGGCCUUCGGGUUGUAAAGGACUUUUGUCCGGGAGCAAAUGCCUGGUGUUAAUAGCAUCGGGAGCUGAGAGUACCGGAAGAAUAAGCACCGGCUAACUACGUGCCAGCAGCCGCCGUAACAC
rnacentral:rRNA from 1 species